AGCAGCCACCCUUGAAAGAGUGCGUAAUAGCUCACUGGUCAAGUGAUUCUGCGCCUAAAAUAUAACGGGGCUCAAGUCACCCACCGAAAUCACGGGUUUGUCAGCAUCUUCGGAUGUUGGGGAGCAGUAGGCGAGCGUUCUGGCAGCAACGAAGCAGUACCGUAAGGAGCUGUGGAGCGGCCAGAAGUGAGAAUGUUGGCACGAGUAGCGUAAACUGUGUGAGAAUCAUAGUCCCCGUAAAUCUAAGGUUUCCGACGGAAGGUCAAUCCGCGUCGGGUUAGUCGGGCCUAAGGCGAGGCCGAAGGGCGUAGCCGAUGGACAACAGGUUAAUAUUCCUGUACCACGUCAAAGUGUUGAGCAGGGGGUGACGCAGCAGGGUAGGUUGGCCGGCGGUUGGACGGGCCGGUGCCAAGCGUGUAGGCGUUGAGGUGGGGGUUAAAAGACCCGCUGAGCUGAGGCGUGACGGCGAGCCCCUUAACGGGGGCGGAAGCAAUUGAGCCCAAACUGCCAAGAAAAGCCUCUAGGGAGCUUUGCGUGACCGUACCGCAAACCGACUCUGGUAGAUGAGUAGAACAUACUAAGGGGAUCGGGAGAACCUUCGUUAAGGAAUUAGGCAAAUUAGAUCCGUAACUUCGGGAAAAGGAUCGCCCAAGUAGGGUGAGAGCGACUAGCUUGCUUGAGCUUGAAAGGGCCGCAGAGAAAUGGCUCUAUCGACUGUUUAUCACAAACACAGGUCUGUGCUAAGUCGUAAGACGAUGUAUACGGGCUGACGCCUGCCCAGUGCCGGAAGGUUAAAGGGAGGGGUUAACGCUCUGAACUGAAGCCCCGGUGAACGGCGGCUGUAACUAUAACAGUCCUAAGGUAGCGAAAUUCCUUGUCGGGUAAGUUCCGACCCGCACGAAAGGCGUAACGAAUGGAGCACUGUCUCAACGAAGGACCCGGUGAAACUGAAAUAGGCGUGAAGAUGCGCUUUACCCGCAGCUGGACAAAAAGACCCCGUGGAGCUUUACUGUAGCUUGGCAUUGGGUUAGGACUUGCUUUGUGUAGGAUAGGUGGGAGGCUGAGAAGCUGGGCCGCUAGGUUCGGUGGAGCCAUCCGUGAAAUACCACUCUGAGUUAGUUUUGACUCUAACCUUGACCGUAAGCCGGUUAGGAGACAGUGCCAGGUGGGCAGUUUGACUGGGGCGGUCGCCUCCUAAAGUGUAACGGAGGCGCGCAAAGGUUCCCUCAGGCUGAAUGGAAACCAGUCAGAGAGUGCAAACGCAUAAGGGAGCUUGACUGCGAGACGGACAGGUCGAGCAGAGACGAAAGUCGGCGUUAGUGAUCCUACGGUACCGAGUGGAAGGGCCGUGGCUCAUCGGACAAAAGCUACCCCGGGGAUAACAGGCUAGUCUUCCCCAAGAGUUCACAUCGACGGG
rnacentral:rRNA from 1 species